UAGGCUCCGCCUACGCGCGCUGAGCCGACCAAUGUCUGCACCUGCAGACGUGGACGCGCCUACUAGCGUGUACGCGCAUGAGCCAAGAUCUCUGGACUUUCUUUGCUGGAACACGAACGUAAGUAUAGAUUUAUUGCUACAUUCGCAGUAAAGAUCAGCCUUUGUGUUUCCAUCAUCAUUUAUGUAUGAUUGUAAUGACGUUGUUUGAUAUUAGCACUAGCAGUAAAACUUUAUAUUCUGUAAAAAAAAGGCUUUAUUUCCAGCUCCGCCUCCCAGAAUGCUUUGCAUGGGGACGUGCGUCUGGCGUCACGUAUACAGAAAAUUCGAAAUGGCUGCACGCGGUAGGUGAGGCCCGAGCGAAGAAAAGUGGAAAAGAGUGUUAUUCGUCAAAAAACCCACACACGACGGUCAUUUUUUCGCCGUGCUAUUGUAAAAUUGUCUUUUAUCUGUGUUUUGUGUUCCGGGGGACCCCGACUCCAGAAUGUGAAAGUUUCCCGCGUGAAGCCGUGGAGCUCGAGAUCCUGUUUACUGUGGACUAGCUGUGUGUGACGCCAUGUUGUUUUUGUUUCCAUUACAAAAAAAAGCUCCACCGUCUCGCCGAGUGCCAGCAAGAGUCAUGAGUACUUGUCAACUCGACUCCUCAACUGGAGAUAACUUUCUAGCACCUCACCAUGGGGAAGGACGCAUUCAUAUGCCUUCACCAGCACCUGCAUUAAACAUGCAGAGAGUUACACAAGGAACGGCAGUCCCUCCUCGACUCCCUCCACCCCCCUCACCAGCAGCCCUCAACAUGUGGCAGACCCAGGAGCCUGGAUCCAGCCUGGCCUACAGGCCAACAUGGCGAGGGGGAAGAAUGGCCGACAACAUUUCCUGCUCUGGUGAGCAAUAACUGACAAAUACCGGAUGGUCAUUCUGUGCCACAAAUUUUGGAAAAAAUUCAAAUUCACAAGCAAUCACAUAUUUUCUUCAAACUUUGUCAAUAACUUUUGUCAUUAACUAAGGUCAAUAGCUAAUGUCAGGAUUAUGAGUAAUGAGGAUAAACACUGAAACAUGUUAAUUUUAUACUGCUGUUUGUCAACAGCGCCUGAGGUAAUCCACAUCCUUAGCCUGCUGGAAACUAUUAAGCACAACCAAGACCAGCUGAUUGCGAAGGUGCUGUGAGUAAAAAUGUGUUGACAAGGUCAGCCACGGACGCUGAGGUCACCAAACACGCCAUCAGGUGGUUCAAAUUGGCGGGGGAUCGGGCAAUGAGGAGACGAGUCCCGCUUCCACCUCCUCA